GGGGAUUUAGCUCAGUGGUAGAGCGCUUGCCUAGGAAGCGCAAGGCCCUGGGUUCGAUUCCCCAGCUCCG
rfam:Rattus norvegicus chromosome 11, whole genome shotgun sequence.